rnacentral:lncRNA from 1 species
AGCACUAAUCAAAUCUAAGACUAGUAAUAAGCAUCCUGAGUAAUGAGUGGCCUGGGCCGGAGCAGGCGAGGUGGCCGGAGCCGUGUGGACCAGGAGGAGCGCUGGUCACUCAGCUGCCGCAAGGAGCAAGGCAAGUUCUAUGACCAUCUCCUGAGGGACUGCAUCAGCUGUGCCUCCAUCUGUGGACAGCACCCUAAGCAAUGUGCAUACUUCUGUGAGAACAAGCUCAGGAGCCCAGUGAACCUUCCACCAGAGCUCAGGAGACAGCGGAGUGGAGAAGUUGAAAACAAUUCAGACAACUCGGGAAGGUACCAAGGAUUGGAGCACAGAGGCUCAGAAGCAAGUCCAGAAAACUGGGCAUCUUCAUGGUCCUAGAAGGAUCCCAGGAGGCUGAUCCUAUAGAGACGUCUGGUUCCUGACCCCAACUGCCUCCAGGUGCCUGGAACAGCCCAUCGUGGGCCCUUUACCCUCAGCAGGUGGACGCCGUUGGUCCUGCCAGGGCAAGUGUGUGUCUGUCUUAGGGCAUUUGGGAACAAUGGGCCUCUCUGUCCAGG